rnacentral:rRNA from 1 species
CGAAAGCCUGACGGAGCAACGCCGCGUGGGGGAAGAAGGUUCUUGGAUUGUAAACCCCUUUUCUCAGGGAAGAAGUUCUGACGGUACCUGAGGAAUCAGCCUCGGCUAACUCCGUGCCAGCAGCCGCGGUAAUACGGAGGAGGCAAGCGUUAUCCGGAAUUAUUGGGCGUAAAGCGUCCGCAGGGGGUCUUCCAAGUCUGCUGUCAAAGCCCGGGGCUCAACCCCGACGCGGCAGUGGAAACUGGGAGGCUAGAGUACGGCAGGGGUAGAGGGAAUUCCCAGUGUAGCGGUGAAAUGCGUAGAUAUUGGGAAGAACACCGGUGGCGAAAGCGCUUUGCUGGACCGAACCUGACGCUGAGGGACGAAAGCUAGGGGAGCG